UACGUAGGUCCCGAGCGUUGUCCGGAUUUAUUGGGCGUAAAGCGAGCGCAGGUGGUUUAUUAAGUCUGGUGUAAAAGGCAGUGGCUCAACCAUUGUAUGCAUUGGAAACUGGUAGACUUGAGUGCAGGAGAGGAGAGUGGAAUUCCAUGUGUAGCGGUGAAAUGCGUAGAUAUAUGGAGGAACACCGGUGGCGAAAGCGGCUCUCUGGCCUGUAACUGACACUGAAGCUCGAAAGCAUGGGGAGCAAACAGG
rnacentral:rRNA from 1 species